GAUGAACGCUGACAGAAUGCUUAACACAUGCAAGUCUUUGGCGAAGCUGUGCUUGCACAGCCUAGCCAAGGCGGACGGGUGAGUAACGCGUAAGGAACUUGCCCUGCAGUCAGGGAUAACAGACGGAAACGACUGAUAAGACCUGGUAAAGUCAGGCGGACUCAUGUCCAGCCUGAUGAAAAGAGAUGCUGCAGGAGAGCCUUGCGUCCUAUUAGCUUGUUGGUGGGGUAACGGCCCACCAAGGCGAUGAUAGGUAGCCGGCCUGAGAGGGUGGACGGCCACAAGGGGACUGAGAUACGGCCCGUACUCCUACGGGAGGCAGCAGUGGGGAAUAUUGGACAAUGGGGGCAACCCUGAUCCAGCAAUUCUGUGUGCACGAUGAAGGUUUUCGGAUUGUAAAGUGCUUUCAGCAGGGAAGAAAAAAAUGACGGUACCUGCAGAAGAAGCGACGGCUAAAUACGU
rnacentral:rRNA from 1 species